rnacentral:lncRNA from 1 species
AGGUUUGACAUCAGCAAGGGUGGUGAAUGCUAGCUCAGCUGCCAUUUUCUUAGUGGGAUUGUGUAGAGAAAGAGUGAAAGCUUGAGAAGGUGAGUUUAACAUAACAUUGGAUCAUAUAUUUAUACUAAUCGAAAUACGGCUAUAAUUUUCUAGGUUUUAGAGAAUUAUCGGGGAAGAGGAUAAAUGCGAAUAGAAUAUUUUAGGUAUAUAAUUGAUAUUAUGCUAUUUUUUGGGUAUGAUUUAGAACAAAUAUGGAUUUGAAAAGAUUUUAUGAUUUUAAAUAUAAAAAAAAAGGAAGUUAAUUGUUUUCGUUUAUAUGGAAAGAUUUUUUCAGCACAAGGAAAUUAUUUAAUUGCAUUUUAAUUGAUAGCAUCCCGGAGAUUUUGUGAUGAUUUAGAAAUUAUAUGGAGUUGUUUGGAUUUGGAAAAUUUUUGUAUCUUUGAUUAUGCAAAAUUUAAGUUGUGAUUGAUAUGGAAAUAGAUUUGAUUACGUGUUAUAAUAUUAGAAUAAGUUUAUCCUUAAUCGGGUUGAUUACGUGAUUACGGAAUAUUUUUGAAUAGGGUUGUUAUAUAGAAUAAAUGAUUUUCCGAAUUUUAAGUUGUGCUUGAUAUAAAAAUAGAUUUAUUUACGUGUUAUCUAACUAAUUUUCUGUUUAAUGUUUGUAGAUAUGUUACAUAAGGCCUGAUAUUAACAAUGGGCCAAUUAACAUAAAGCCCAGUUGUGUUUUACCGCAGAUGUAUCAGCGAUCCGUCUCAUUUACCAGAUAGAUAUCCGAUUCAAUCUCCAAGAUCCGCGUCCUUUUGAGUCCCAAUUGUCAAUUAUACCCCUCGACGAAAUUCUGUGUUUUCACUUGAAAUACUAAAAUUCUAAUGGCAUCUAUUGUAAUUAUUUACCCUUAGUGAGGUUAGAUAUUAUGUAAUCCUUCCCAAUUAAUAGAAUAGAU